GACGAACGCUGGCGGCGUGCUUAACACAUGCCAGUCGAACGGCAAGGCCCUGCUUUUGUGGGCUGCUCGAGUGGCGAACGGGUGCGUAACACGUGUGUAACCUGCCCUUGACUUUGGGAUAACUUCAGGAAACUGGGGCUAAUCCCGGAUCGGAGCUCCUGCUGCAUGGUGGGGGUUGGAUAGUUUCGGCGGUGGUGGAUGGAGGCGCGGCUUACCAGCUUGUUGGUGGGGUAGUGGCUUACCAAGGCUUUGACGGGUAGUCGGCCUGCGAGGGUGACCGGGCACAAUGGGACUGAGAUACGGCCCAGAGUCCUACGGGAGGCAGCAGGGGGGAAUAUGACACAGUGGGCGGGAGCGUGAGGCAGCGGCGCCGCGGUCGGGAUGACGGCCUUCGGGGUAUAAACCGCUUUCGCCUGUGACGAAGCGGGAGUGACGGUAAUGAGUAAAGAAGCACCGGCUAACUACGUG
rnacentral:rRNA from 1 species